UGAGUUAAAUAAAAAAUCAAGAGCAAUUUCUACCCAUUUAGCCGAAGUGAAUCCCCAACGCUCUAGUGUUUUUCUCCAUCGUAUUUCCACCAACCAUUUACCACUCACAGAAUAGUUUAUUUCCUUCCAAUUCUCUGUGGUUCGACCUCGAACUUUCGAGUUUACUACUUACGACAACCUGCACUUGGGUUUGCAACUUUAAAGUUGUAGCAAGUUUUUGGCGCCGUUGUCGGGGAUUUGCGUCAAGGAUUAUUUUCUGCUACUUUCUGUGAGGUUUUCUUCUCUUUUAUAAUCUUCAUAAAUCAGGUACCCUCGUUCCUUUUUCAAUCUUAUUACUUUAGUUAUUUUACUUUAAAGGAAGGCCAAGCCUCCUUUUUUAUUUUUUGUUUAUUUUCUUUCUUUAAAGGGAAGGCCGAGCCUCCUGAUCUGUCGUUUCUUUAUUAUAUGGUUGGCUGUGCCACCUAAUUUUUGUUCUUUACAUUAUUAUAUGGUUGGCCGUGCCACCUAAUUUUCGUUCUUAACAUCUAUUUUAUGUUAUUUUAUGUCAUAUUGGUAUCGUGAAUUUAAUUCUCAUCGUUUAGUUAAAGAUAACUGUGAAACUUUCUUUAGUAAUUUAUUUGACUCGCCUCAACACUCACUCACAUCUUCCACCAUAGCUGAUAAUGAAAGCGUACAUGAUGAAAAUGAAAACCAACAAACACGAACCAUGCGUGAUUACUUGCAACCUCCUCGAAAUUCUGCUCCUUCAUGUUUCAUUUUCCCUCUUAAUGCUAAUAAUUUUCGAUUCAAGCCAAGUAUGAUUUCAUUACUUCCUAAUUUUCAUGGCUUAGAAUCCGAAAGUCCAUAUUUACAUCUUAAAGAAUUUGAGGAAGUAUGUGCCACAUUUAACGAUCAAACUUAUCCCAAUGAAAUUGUUAAGUUGAAAUUGUUUCCUUUCUCUCUAAAAGAUAAAACAAAAACUUGGCUUAACUCUUUAAAACCUAGGUCGAUUGGCACAUGACAAGAAGUGCAAAAUGAGUUUUUGAAGAAAUUCUUUCCAGCACAUAAAACUAAUGCUUUGAAAAAACAACUCCAAAUUUUUUCUCAAAAAACCAAUGAAGCGUACUUUCAAUGUUUAUAAAGAUUUAAAGAUUUGUUAAAUACAUGCAAACGUCAUGGUUUUGAAAAACGGCGUACUAUAAAUUUCUUUUAUGAGCGCCUAACUCCUAAAACAAAACAGUUUGUAGAAACGAUGUGCAAUGGUGAAUUUUUAGAUAAAGAUCCAGAUGAAGCUUUAGAAUUUCUAGAUCUAGCUGAAAAUUCUUAAUAUUGGCAAACAGUAAAACUAAUCGAAAACUCAAUCAGAUCUAGUCUUGCUAGUUCUAGUGGAAGAAAAUAUCAAUUGAGUCAAGAUGAUGAUCUAAAUGCUAGGAUUGCUAGUUUGUCUAGAAAGGUUAAAGCUAUGGAAUUAAGGAAAGUAAAGGAAGUUAAACCCGUGCAAAAUGAUGAAAUUUGUAGCAUUUGAGAAACUUUUGGUCAUCCAACGCAUGAUUGUCCUAACAUCCCAGUUUUCAAAGAAGUUUUACAUGAUCAAGCAAAUGCUAUGAACACUUUCAAAAAGGCUUUUCCUUCUCCAUUCUCAGAAACAUAUAAUCAACAAUGGAGAAAUCAUCCCAACUUUAGUUGGAGAGACGAUAAUCGUGUUCAUAUAUCACAACCUGAAGGGCUUUCAAAAUUUCCUUCUUUUCCACCAUCACUAUCAAAGACUCUUGAGGAAAUAUUGCAGUCUUUUAUGCAAGGACAAGCAAAUAUUAAUAAUCAAACUUCACAAGCCAUCAAUGAAAUCAAGACCACACUUUCUUCAUUGACCUCUUCUUUGCGUUCUCAAGAUAAAGGUAAAUUUCCUGCUCAACCUCAAUCAAAUCCUUCUGAGCAAUUUAAUGUAAAUGCUUCUAGUUCUUCUGAAUGUCAACAAGAAAAUGCCAACUCCAUCACAACUCUUCGUAGUGGAAAAAUUAUUGACAAAAUCAUCCCUUCAAAAGAACUAAAAUUGGUUGGGACUUCAAAGCAAGAAAAUGAUGUUUCCAAAACCGAGGAAAAAAUCAUUUAUGAACCUAGUGUUGAAAAAUGUCCCACUCCAGCUCCAUUUCCUCAACGAUUGCAACCAAUUUCAAAACUGAACCAUAAUUCUGAAAUUUUUGAACUUUUCAAACAAGUCAAAAUUAACAUACCAUUAUUGGAUGAAAUCAAACAAGUUCCUUCAUAUGCAAAAUUUUUAAAAGACUUGUGCACUAUCAAGAGGAAAUUUAAUGUUCAACAAAAAGCAUUUUUGACAAAGAAUGUGAGCUCAAUCAUUCAACAAAACACUCUAUCUAAAUUCAAAGAUCCUGGUUGUCCAACAAUUUCUUGUGUGAUUGGGAAUAAUAAGAUAGAGCGUGUUUUGCUUGACUUGGUGCUAGUGUUAAUCUAUUACCUUUUUCUGUGUAUGAGCAACUUGAUUUGGGAGAGCUUAAACCAACAGCAACAACACUUCAACUUGUUGAUCGUUCAGUAAAAGUUCCAAAAGGGGUUGUAGAGGAUGUUCUAGUUCAAAUUGAUAAAUUCUAUUAUCCUGUUGAUGUCAUAGUUUUGGACACACAUCCUGUUUUAAAUUCAAAUGCACAAAUACCUGUCAUUUUAGGACGUCCCUUUCUUGCUACUUCAAAUGCGUUGAUAAAUUGUAGAAAUUGUAUCUUGAAACUCUCUUUUGGAAAUAUGACUGUGGAAAUGAAUAUUUUUAACAUUUGCAAGUAACAUGGAGAUAAAGAUGAUUUGCAUGAAGUAGAUUUUAUUGAACAAUUUGUUAAUGAUCAGUUUAUCGCUACAUCUUCAUCUGAUGCGCUGGAAUUUGAAUUUAACGAUAAUUCUAAAAAUUCGCAUAUAAUUUCUUUGUUGAAUUCAUUUUAGGAGAAAAAGACAAGUCAUUGGAAAUCAAAGUUUGAAAAAUUAUCACAACAGUCCAAUAUGUCCAUGAUUUCAAGUGUUCAAAUGCCAAAGCUCGACUUGAAGCCAUUACUAUCUAAUCUGAAAUACUCAUUUUUGGGUGAAGAUGAAACUUUUCCGAUAGUAAUUUCUUCCCAACUUGAUGAGCACCAAGAAGGUAAGUCGUUGUAAACUUUAAAAAUGCAUAAAAAUGUUUUAGGAUGGACCAUAGCUGAUAUAAAGGAGAUUAGUCCUUUGAUUUACACACAUAAGAUUUAUUGCUAAACCUACAAGAGAAAUGCAACGAAGGCUUAAUCCUGUUUUAAAAGAGGUGGUAAGAAAUGAAGUCAUUAAACUCUUAGAUAAUGAAAUCAUUUAUCCUAUUAAGUUGUACCAAAAAAAUCUGGUAUUACUGUAGUCCAAACUAAAGAAAAUGAGUUAAUUCCAACUAGAACUGUUACUGGUCGGCGCAUGUGUAUCGACUAUAGGAAACUUUAACUGAACGAGUUGGAAGAAAUCAGGAAUGAAGUUUAUGAGAACUCUCAAAUUUAUAGGGAAAGAAUGAAGGUAUUCCAUAAUAAAAACAUUGUUAGAGAAACUUUUAAGCCUUCCCAAAAUGUUCUUUUGUACAACUUAAGGUUACAGUUAUUUCCUGAAAAAUUACGCUCCAAGUGAACUACUCCUUUCAUUGUCAAAACUGUUUACCCACAUUGAGCUGUAGAAAUUGAAAAUCCAAGUAAUGAAAAUAUUUUUAAAGUUAAUGGACAUCGUUUGAAACCAUUUUUUGAGAAUUUCUCUAGAUUAAAAGAGUCAAUUGCUUUACAUGAUCUUAAAUAUUGAUAUCAUUUUCUCACUGUUUUAUUUUGUAUGUUCGUUUUCAGUUUUAUAAUGUUGUUUGUUUGUUUUAGGUUUGUUUCUUUUAUUGUCGUUUUUUUUUUACUAACGAAAUUGAAGGUUCAUUUAGGCCAAGUUUAUGUCGACUCUCCAAGUAAAGCUCAAAACCCGUCCCUUUGUUCAAAAUUUUGCUCCUUACUGUCCUUCAUAUAUUUUACACGUUUAAUCUUUACAUUGAGGACAAUGUUUCAUUUAGAUUGGGGGGAAAGGAAUCAGAAAGUUUAAAAAAAAAAAAAAANNNNNNNNNNNNNNNNNNNNNNNNNNNNNNNNNNNNNNNNNNNNNNNNNNNNNNNNNNNNNNNNNNNNNNNNNNNNNNNNNNNNNNNNNNNNNNNNNNNNNNNNNNNNNNNNNUUUUUUUUUCACAUUUAAAUUUUCACCACCUAUGACAUAUAAACUUGAACCUGAUUCCUUUUUAUAAAGUUACCCGUGGCACUCCCUUAUAAAAUUCUUAGAUUAAUUUUUUCCCUUUCCCCCAGCAUUUUUAGAAAACAUCAAAAGGCUCACUCCGGCCAAAAGUUUUCACCUAUCUGGGUCACUCAGGAUUAACCUAAAAACAGUAUGGCUUCUAGAAAUCAAGUUAUGCUUUUAUUAUAUGCAUAGGAUGAAAUGAUAAACAUAACAAAUAUUUACUUAACAAAAACAUAAAAAUACAAAAACAUGAAUAUAAAAGAGUAAAAUAUAAUUUAGAGAUUUAUAAAUUCAUCUUUAAAAGAUUUACAACUAAGGAUUUCCCUUUCGGGAAGUCCCUAAAGUUCUAAAAUAAACUUAAAAGAAUAAGAAUACAAGAAUACCUUCAAUAUUCACAAGAAUGUUUCAGCUAUACAAUAUUUUUUGGAUUGAGAAUUUUUCUGGGGAAGAGGUUUCAAGGUUUUUUAGAUAGCAGAGAGUACACAGAUUGUAAACUUCUGCCUAAAUCGAAUGAAACUCAUUCCUUAAAUAGAAAAAUUCUUGGGAGCAAAAAGUCCAAUCUAUCCUUGAGAAAGGCACACGUUUCACCGAGAAACUUCUGGCCAUUCUAAAAUCUAACAAGUGACAAAAGUUUUUAUGUCUUUUUACUAAAAAUUCUAAAGGUCUAUAGUUGGGAAUCUUUCUUUUACAAGAUUUCCACCAACUUUACAAAAAGGUCUAUCAAAUGUCUAAAAAUUCAAAUAGGAAUCUUUUCUCUUUUCAAAAAGUCCCGACACCUUUUCUAAUAAUACAACAAUAAUGAAAAUUUAUUCUAAAAGUCUACAGUAUAAUGAUAAAAAGUCUUCUUUCAGAUUUGUCUUGUUAUGCAUUAUUGAGGAUCUUUAUCACGUAUCAAGAUUGUGGUGUGCCAUUAAUGAAAAUGACAUUCCACUGUCUGAAUUAUUGUAUCCUUCGUUCUGUGGAUCUUCGUCUUCAUCUGAAAGUCUGGAAUUACUGGCUUCAUCUUUUUCUUUUUGAUCUGGGCAUUCUGAAAUUUCUUUCUCUUCUCCAUGAUUCUUUUUUAAGAUUGUCUCAAAUGCUUGAUUGACUGCUUCUCUAAUUUGUUCUUUUAAUCCUUCAUCAUUUUUCUUCUUCUUAAUCUUUUUCUUUUUUCUGGAAAAAAUUCCUUCAUCUUUUUUGGAUUGCUUUUGGAAUUCUUCAAUUUUUUCAAAAAUCUUUUCUAAAGAAACAGUAUCUGGAUUAGGGUCUUGUGAUUCUUGAAGAAAUAAACAGUCUUGACUAUCUCGGGCCACCAUUUUUUCUUUUCCCUUGCUGGACUGAAUUUCUUGGGCUUGUGAAAAUUCUGGAUUAUUUGAAAAAUGUUCUGGUGAAAAAUGUUCUGGUGAACUAUAUUUAACUAAAUAAUCAAAUUUUCCACUGGGCUGUCCUAAAAGAUCCCAAAUCUCUUUACCUUUUUCUGUAGCAGAUUUAUCAGUCUGCUGAGUCUAAUUAUCUUUUUUAGUAGAGGAAUCAACAGUCCCCUGAGUCUGUUGGGCUUUUGGUAAGUCCACAACCUUCAACGGAUUUGAUAAGUCUUUACCAGCUACCGUUUGGGCUGGACUAGCUAUGGACUUCUUGGGCUCCAUAGUACCUGUUGGAUAAUGGACUUUUAGAUCCAAAAUCUCUUUUUCUAGUUGGACCACUUUCUUUUGGAGUUGGGUUCUUUCUAGUGAAAGGUUCUGAUUGGCUUCAUUGAUAACUUUGUAAUUUCUUUGCAUACACUCACAGUGUUGGCAGAAAAUAUUCUGAUCUUUACUUGGAGAGAAGUCUAAUGGAGGGUCUGAGUAAUUUUUUAAAGAAUGAGAUAAAUAAAAAUUUAUUUCUAUAUGCUGUCUUGCUGCAUCUAAUGCUUCUUGAAAAUUUGUAAAACCUUUGUAAAGAGAAUCUGGAAAAUUUUUAAUGCAAUCUAAGACUUCUAUCCAAGAAUGGAAAAUUCCUGGAUUUUUACCUUUAAUAACAAUAUAAAAUUUAAAUCUUUGCUUGUUCUGACUAAAAUGUUCUGACAAUGCAUUCAUGCAUGCAAGAAAAUAUUUUUGAUCUUUUGGAUUCUUAUUAUAUGAAAUCCAUAAAUUAUCUAAAAUACGUUUUUCUUCUCUAGAUGAAAUAUGUGGUAAAAUUUUAAAAGAAAUAUUACUAUUGGGAAAAACUAUAAGUUCUUGGUUUUCAAACCUUAACUUGUCUUGUAACAUUGGUCUGUUCUGGUUAAAUGGAGUCUGUGGUAAAGAUCUUGAUGCAAAUGAAUUCCCAGGUGGAAUUUCUGGUCUUAUAGACCUUGAUCUUGUCAUCUGUAUAACAAAAUUAUGUUAAACAAAUUUAAUAAUUUCUAUCUAUUAUUAUUCUACUUAGUAUGUCUGCCACUUUAUUAUCACUACCUUUAAUAUGCUCAAAUUCUAUAUUAAUUCCUGUAUUUGUAAUUCUAUCUAUAAAGUUUAACCACCUUCUUCUACUACUUCUUCUUGAAUCUAUUUUCAUUUUAUUAACAAAAGAAACUAUGGCUACACAGUCUGUUCUUAUAGUUAUUUCUUUCUUAGAUAUAAUAAAUAAUUCAAAACUAUCUAAUACAUAAUUUAUAGCUAAUAAUUCUACAUCUAUGCUACUUAAAUUUUCUUUUUCUUUAUAAUUUCCACUAUUGUACCUACAAAUUUUUUCUGUACUUUUAUCAGUAUAUUUAUUGGGUUUGCAUAUUAAUAUAGCUUCCCAUCCUGUCAUACUUCUAUCUGUUUCUAUAAUUAAAUAUUCUGAAUCUAAUGGCAUAGCCAAUUCUGGCAAAAUUUUUAUUUUUUCUUUUAUUUGUUGAACUAAUUUUAUGUCUUCUUGAUUAAAAAAUCUUUGUCCUGUAGGAGAUGUCUUUGCAUAUAAGGGUCUUGCUAUUUUUCCCAAAUCUUUUAUAAAUGGUCUAGCAUAAUUUACUAAUCCUAAAAAAUUUUGGAUUUGUUUUAAGUCUUCUAGUUUGUCUGAAAAUUCUAAAGCUUUCUUAACAAUAUGGGGUUGUAACUUAAUUUUACCUUCUCCUAUAUUAACUCCUAAGAAAUUGAUAAAUUCUUUAAAUAAAAUCAUUUUCUUUUUACUGAUUAUUAAACCAUGUUUAAUAAAUUCUGAAAAUACUAUUUGUAAAUGUCCUCUACGUUCUUGUUUAUUUUUACUAAAUACUAAGAUGUCAUCUAUGUAUACUAUUACAAACUAUGUUUAUUAAAAAUACUUUCCAUUUUUCUUUGGAAAAUACUUGGUGCAUUCUUAAUUCCAAAUGACAUUACAAGCUAUUCAAAAUGUCCUUCUGGACAAGUAAAAACUGUCCAUUUAAUACUUUCUGGAUGCAUUUUUACUUGCCAAAAUCCUGACUUUAAAUCAAAUUUACUAAAAAUUUUGCAGUCUUGGAUUUUAUUUAUUAAAACUGUUUUAUCUGGUAUGUUAUAAGCAUCAUCUAUAAUAUUAUCAUUAAGUCUUUUAUAAUUAAUUACCAUUCUACUUUUUCCUCUAACAAUUUCUAAAUGUUUUCUAACUAUAAAGGCUGCUGAUCUAUGAGGACUUUCUGAUUUUUUAAUUACUCCUAGUUCCAAUAGUUCUUUUAUAUGUAUUUUAAAGUCUUCUAAAUCUAAAUUUGUAGCUUCUAUGUUUUUAGUUUUAAUUAUAUAUUCUGGAUUUUUAAUUUUUAAUUCGCAUAAUAUUUUAUCUUUCUCCCAGUAUUUUAAAACAUUUUCUCCUAUUAUUUCUAUUUUUUCUAAUCUAGAUAUUAAAUUUUCUAUUUCUUGUUCUGUGAUUAACAUAUCAUAAAUCUUUUCAUUAUCAAUUAGUUCCAUGGUUCCAAAAUCUAUUUCUAAAAUUUCUUCUUCAAAAUUUAUUUCUUCUAAAUUAUCUUCCUCUAUUAAUUGACAUUCUCUUUCUUUUUUACUUACAACUAUUACUAUUACUAGCUCCACGCUUCUCUAUGCACUCUGAUGGAAAACAGGUAGUCUGUAUUGGUGUAAAUAAUGUAUAUUUUUGCAAAUGUAAAAAAUUUUUAGUAAUUGUAAUACUUCCAUUAUCUUUUAAUAAAAAACUUAAUCUUAUAAUAAAAUCUGUAUCUUUAAUGUUUAAAGGUCUAACCCAAACUGAUUCUUUUGGUAAAGUAUAUUCUAUACUUCUACCACAGUUUGUCUCAAAACUAAUCUUACUAUUUGAUUGUAAUAAUUCUGUAUAAGUAUAAAGUUCUCCAUCCAUUUAUUGUGCUUCUAUUGGUUUGUCUGAAUAUGUUAUGCAUUGUUUUGGUAUUAAUUUCUUAUUAAUUAUACAAUUACUGCAUCCUGAGUCUAUUAGACCUAAGCAUUUUAUUUCAUAUUGUCCUAUUCUUAUGUAACAUUUUACCUUAAUACUUUUAAGUUUUUCUGAAUUACAUAUUACCUGAACAUACUCUUUUUCUUUAUAUUCUGUACUUUGACUUUGUUCUUCUAUUUCUAUUGUUUUUCCUUUAUUAUUAUAUUCUAAUAUUUCUAUCUUAUUUAUUAUAAAUUUUUGCAUUUCUUCUAAACUUUCUAUUCUUUUUCUAAGAAUUUUUAUUUCUGAUAUUUCAAUUCUUUCUUUUAAAAUUUCUGAAUUGACCUCUUCUUUUUCAAUAAGAUUCUUUUCUUCUAAACAUUUUAUACAUGUUUCUUUAUAACAUUCUAAGCAUUUAGCUUUAAGCUUUCUUACUGGGUACCAAUUACAUAAAUAACAAGUUAUAUUAUCUGCUCCUUUAUAUUUUUGCCAAUUAUGUAAACAUUCUAUAAUCAUGCUAUUCAUUAAAUUAAGUUCUUCUGAUUCUAAUUCUUCUUGUAAUCUUAUAUUAGAGAAUUCAUCUAUUAUUUCAUAAUCAGAUUCUUUAUUUUCUUCUAAAUUUUUAUCUUCUAUUAAUAUAAUACUAUAAAUAGAUUCUUUAUCUGAGAUAUAUUCAUCUAAUUGUAUUAAAUUUUCAUUAGUACAUUCUAUUAAUGUACUCUUCUUAUCAUAAUUAUUUAUUCUUUUUAGACAAGUCUUAGAUAAAUGUCCAUUACUGUUACAAACAUAACAACUAAGUCUAUUCUUAUAAAUUCUUUCUUGUUUAAAUUUUCUCACAUGUCUUUUUUAUCUAAGUAUGAUUUUCUCUUAUUAGAUUUUCUAAGAAAGUAUCUUUUCUUAAAAGAUCUUUUAUUCUUUCUUUCUUUAUUACUAUAUUUAUUUUUUCUUGAACUAGAGGCUCCAUAAGUUUGUGGGGUAAAAAUAUCUUUACAGAAUUUAUAGUCUGUCUUUUUAAAUUGUUUUUGAAUUUGUAACUUUACACAUUUAUCUUCUAAGCAUCUUAUUACAUGUUGUAUUCUUUGUCCUAUACUCCAUUGUUUUUCUGAUUCUUCUUUUACUGCUAGUAAAUUAUUCCAUUUAUCUGUAGUCUCUAGUCCUAAUGGUCCUGGUAAUUUAUGAAAUAGUUUAUUACCGAUUUCUUGAUUAAAUGUGUUUCCUGAUAUUGAAGUUAAGUAAUGGUAUUCAUUUAAAAAGUUCUUAACAUAUCUUCCUUUAGUCCAUUUAUAAAGACUAAGUUGUUCUAAGUCUCUCAUAGCUUUUCUUUGUAUACUCAUAUGUCCUGAAUUUGGGUCUGCUCCUGUUAUUAAUAUUUGUAUUUUAUUAACAAAAUUAUAGGGAUUGCUUUCCAUAUUAAUUAAUUGUUCAAAUUCUUCUUUCUUUUCUAAUUUGAAUGCUUCCCACAUAAUUUUUACACUUUCUCUUAAAAAUGUUUCUAAGUAUCUAUACGUAUCUAAAGCUUCCAUUUCUCAAAAAUUUCUAAUAUAAUGUCUUAUUAUAGUAUUUUUUUCCAUACAUCUAUUACAUUAUUCCAUGUCUGUGGAUCAUGUACUGUAAUAUUUAAAAUCUGUGCUUUAUAUAAGAAAAAAUUCAGUCCAGUAAAGGAAAAGAAAAAAUGAUGGCCCAAGAUAGUCAAGACUAUUUAUUUCUUCAAGAAUCACAAGACCCUAAUUCAGAUACUGUUUCUUUAGAAAAGAUUUUUGAAAAAAUUGAAGAAUUCCAAAAGUAAUCCAAAAAAGAUGAAGGAACUUCUUCCAGAAAAAAGAAAAAAAUUAAGAAGAAGAAAAAUGAUGAAAGAUUAAAAUAACAAAUUAGAGAAGUAGUCAAUCAAGCAUUUGAGACAAUCUUAAAAAAGAACCAUGGAGAAGAGAAAGAAAUUUCAGAAUGCCCAGAUCAAAAAGAAAAAGAUGAAGUCAGUAAUUCCAGACUUUCAGAUGAAGACGAAGAUCCACAGAACGAAGGAUACAAUAAUUCAAACAGUGGAAUGUCAUUUUCAUCAGUGGCACACCACAAUCUUGAUAUGUGAUAAAGAUCCUCAAUAAUGCAUAACAAGAUAAAUCUGAAAGAAAACUUUAUCAUUAUACUGUAGACUUUUAAAAUAAAUUUUCAUUAUUGUUGUAUUAUUAAAAAAGGUGUUGGGACUUUUUGAAAAGAGAAAAGAUUCCCAUUUGAAUUUUUAGACAUUUGAUAGACCUUUUUGUAAAGUUGGUGAAAAUCUUGUGAAAGAAAGAUUUCCAACUGUAGACCUUUAGAAUUUUUAGUAAAAAGACAUAGAAACUUUUGCCACUUGUUAGAUUUUAGAAUAGCCAGAAGUUUCUCGAUGAAACGUGUGCCUUUCUCAAGGAUAGAUUAGACUUUUUGCUCCCAAGAAUUUUCCUAUUUAAAGAAUAAGUUUCAUUCGGUUUAGGCAGAAGUUUACAACCUCUGCUAUCUAAAAAACCUUGAAACCUCUCCCCCAGAAAAAUUCUCAAUCUAAAAAAUAUUAUAUAGCUGAAACAUUCUUGUGAAUAUUGAAGGUAUUCUUGUAUUCUUAUUCUUUUAAGUUUAUUUUAGAACUUUGGGGACUUCCCGAAAGGGAAAUCCUUAGUCGUAAAUCUUUUAAAGAUGAAUUUAUAAAUCCCUAAAUUAUAUUUUACUCUUUUAUAUUCAUGUUUUUGUAUUUUUAUGUUUUUGUUAAGUAAAUAUAUGUGAUGUUUAUCAUUUCAUCCUAUGCAUAUAAUAAAAGCAUAACUUGAUUUCUAGAAAUCAUACUGUUUUUAGGUUAAUCCUGAGUGACCCAGAUAGGUGAAAACUUUUGGCCGGAGUGAGCCUUUUGAUGUUUUCUAAAAAUACUGGGGAAAGGGAAAAAAUUAAUAUAAGAAUUUUAUAAGGGAGUGCCACGGGUAACCUUAUAAAAAGGAAUCAAGUUCAAGUUUAUAUGUCAUAGGUGGUGAAAAUUUAAAUGUGAAAAAAAAAAAGGAUUUAUAUAUGAUUCUUAAGAAAGAUUUAUAGAAAACUAAGGAGGGUACUGAAUAGGAUUUUUUACUAAAAAUUCUAAAGGUCUACAGUUGGGAAUUUUUCUUUUACAAGAUUUCCACCAACUUUACAAAAAGGUCUAUCAAAUGUCUAAAAAUUCAAAUGGGAAUCUUUUCUCUUUUCAAAAAGUCCCGACACCUUUUCUAAUAAUACAACAAUAAUGAAAAUUUAUUCUAAAAGUCUACAGUAUAAUGAUAAAAAGUCUUCUUUCAGAUUUGUCUUGUUAUGCAUUAUUGAAGAUCUUUAUCACGUAUCAAGAUUGUAGUGUGCCACUGAUGAAAAUGACAUUCCACUGUCUGAAUUAUUGUAUCAUUCGUUCUGUAGAUCUUCGUCUUCAUCUGAAAGUCUGGAAUUACUGGCUUCAUCUUUUUCUUUUUGAUCUGGGCAUUCUGAAAUUUCUUUCUUCUCCAUGGUUCUUUUUUAAGAUUGUCUCAAAUGCUUGAUUGACUGCUUCUCUAAUUUGUUCUUUUAAUCCUUCAUCAUUUUUCUUCUUUUUAAUCUUUUUCUUUUUUCUGGAAGAAGUUCUUUCAUCUUUUUUGGAUUGCUUCUGGAUUUCUUCAAUUUUUUCAAAAAUCUUUUCUAAAGAAACAGUAUCUGGAUUAGGGUCUUGUGAUUCUUGAAGAAAUAAACAAUCUUGACUAUCUUGGGCCACCAUUUUUUCUUUCCCUUACUGGACUGAAGAUAUAUAUACAUAUAUAUAUAUAUACAUAUAUAUAUAUAGAAUAUGUAGAAUUAAUUAUGACCCAAAAAAAAAAAAAAUUCCAACUAAACAAACUCUAGGAUAGUUUGGGGGUGGUUGAACUGUUGUAGGGAGAUAUUAAGAUAGAUAUGGAUUCUAUGUGUGUUAAAUUUUGUGUGGAUUGCUUAAGACCAAUGAGAUUAUAAUUAGGUGAAAAUAUUAAGUUAAAGAUUGAUUUUCGAGAAUAAGUGUUUAAUGAGGGGCAUUGCACUAAUCAUUGCGUAGAAGGGAAAACACUGCUAUGUUGUGAAGCCAAAUGAAGAUAAUUAUAUACAUAAAAAGAGAUCAGGCUAGUGCAUAAAACAGAAUAUGCACGGCAAACUUGAAAAAAAAUAAUAAUAAUAAUAAUAAAAAAGGGCAGGUGCAUGAGACAGAAGACGCACUACAUGCCUUGAUUAAGUCUCAAACACUUAUUUUAGAGAAUUAGACAUUUGAUAAGGGAUUAGUAGCUUAGUUGAUUCUUGGAGGUUGAAUCAGUCAAAAUUAAGAAGAAUCCUCAUUUAUUGAUAUAUUGAGCUACAAUUAGUAAAAUCUAACCAAAUUAGAGAGGGUGAGUAAUAGUAUAUAAAUUUAACCAUAAAUCACACCGUGAAAAAAUAGUCACAAAAUCAAGUUUGAGGGUGUGCAUCCAACGAGAUGAGAGACAAUUGACCAUUGAGGGUUGGGAUGAAUCCAAUUUGAAAAAGUAUGUGAUUAAUUGAAUUGAUUAUACACACACACACGUUGGUCGAGCAUUAAACAAGUUAGACUAUGUUUUGGCAGCAAACCUUAGAAAUCUUUUGUUAAGCAUUUUCAAAUCCUGAGACAAGUGACAAGCUAUUUCAUUUGAAGUAAUUUUGAAAUUAUAUUGCUUGAGACUAGCAAUAUCCUGGUUAGGGAGUGUGAUUAGUGUCUAAAAGUGCUUCAAAGAUAUAUCAUUUACAAGGCAUUUUACAUUCAAUUUGUUUAAAUUCACUAAUGUUAGUCUCUAAUUUUAAUUCUCUUGCUGUAAAUUCAAUUUUCAUAAAUACAUGUUUAAAAAUGCAAUUAAUUGAAAUACGUAAUUACAUACAUGUCGGCAUGAGUAUUAUACUUUUGAAAACGUAUUUAUUUGAUGUAUUUUACAUGUAUUUCUAAGGUAGAACAAGUGGAGCAAGUGGAAGAAAAAAAUGUUGAAAAGUCAAGAAUAGUGAGCUGUCUCAAGCAAGAAGCAGCUGUCGGUAAAAUGAUCAUAACUUGAGCUGCAGACAUUGAACCAAGGUGAUUCAAGUUUGAUUGGAAAGAUAAGGCAUGUAUCUAUAACUUUCAUGUUUUGCAAGAAGUCAAAUUCGUAUCACAAGGCAGCCAAAAUUACCGUGCAAAGUACAACUUGUUAUCUGCCGAAUACAGCUUUUCUACAUAAAGCAGCACUCAUUGUUUUGACCAUAUCUGGAGUUUUAGAGAUCCAAUGGACGUGAAAUAUGAACCAAUGGAAAGAUAACUCAAUUGGCAACAAUUUAUCUGUUGAUCAAAAGUUCAAAUUCACAGCACAAAGUAUCUGAAAAUUGGCAUCAAGUUGCAUGUUCCAACUGUCUUGAAGCUGGACAGAAAUAAGUUGCAUCGUCCACUUACAUUUUGGAUAUUCCUUUGCCUAUAAAAGAGGACCUUGACCAAGAUUUUGAGAAUCAACUCCUCUUCAUCAUAUUCUAGUUUCCUUCAUUUUCUUUGUAACAUUUCAUUAUAUAUUUCUAAACCAUUAGCUAAAGCUAGGGGUGAAACUUUGGUAAAUAUAUAGUAUUGUCUUUGAUCUUUCACUUUGCUCUUCAAUAUUCAUCUUCUUACUUGGUUGAAAUAUAUGUUCUACAAAUAGUUUUGGUUUGUUAAAGACUUUGAUUUAUUGUUGACAAUUUUAGCACAAUAAAUGCUUAGAUAAUCUUACAUACCAAUAACUUAUUUUGACAUAUUCUCUUAAACAAUUAUCAAGAUCUAUCUUUUAGUAUACUUGCAAUCAAUGUUUUAUCUUCCAUAUGAGAUCACUCCUUAGUUGAUUUUCAUAUGAGUUAAAUAUAAUAUCAAGAGCAAUUUCUACCCAUUUAGCCGAAGUGAAUCCCCCACGCUAUAGUGCUUUUCUCCAUCGUAUUUCCACCAACCAUUUACCACUCAUAGAAUAGUUUAUUUCCUUCCAAUUCUCUGUGGUUCGACCUCGGACUUCCGAGUUUACUACUUGCGACAACCUGCACUUGGGUUUGCAACCUUAAAGUUGUAGCAGAAGUAAUCAGAUAAAUAUGUAUAGACUUCCUAUUGUCAACGUUUAAUUGUUUCCCACCCCAACCCACAAGAAAACACAAAUUACAUGCACACAGCUCUCUUUGAGCUUAAAAGAAGCAAAAAUAAAUAAAUAAAUAUCUAUUUCAUCUGGGGCACAUUGAUGACAUGAAAAUAUUACAUUGGCAUAAAUAAUUAAUCUAAUCUGAACACAAAAAUCGCAAUCAUGACAAGAAUUGUUUAC
rnacentral:lncRNA from 1 species